GAGGAAUAUUGGUCAAUGGGCGGAAGCCUGAACCAGCCAUCCCGCGUGCAGGAAGACGGCCCUAUGGGUUGUAAACUGCUUUUCCAGGGGGAGAAACUUUCCGAUGAAUCGGGAUUUGACGGUACCCUGGGAAUAAGCAUCGGCUAACUCCGUGCCAGCAGCCGCGGUAAUACGGAGGAUGCGAGCGUUAUCCGGAUUUAUUGGGUUUAAAGGGUGCGUAGGCGGAUCGAUAAGUCAGUGGUGAAAACCUGCAGCUUAACUGUAGACUUGCCGUUGAUACUGUUGGUCUUGAGUAUGGUCAAGGUAGGCGGAAUGUGUAAUGUAGCGGUGAAAUGCUUAGAUAUUACACAGAACACCGAUUGCGAAGGCAGCUUACUGGACCAUCACUGACGCUGAUGCACGAAAGCGAGGGGAUCGAACAG
rnacentral:rRNA from 1 species